UGGGGAAUAUUGCACAAUGGGGGAAACCCUGAUGCAGCGAUGCCGCGUGGAGGAAGAAGGUUUUCGGAUUGUAAACUCCUGUCGUAAGGGACGAUAAUGACGGUACCUUACAAGAAAGCUCCGGCUAACUACGUGCCAGCAGCCGCGGUAAUACGUAGGGAGCGAGCGUUGUCCGGAAUUACUGGGUGUAAAGGGAGCGUAGGCGGGGCGGCAAGUCAGAUGUGAAAUAUACGUGCUCAACAUGUAGACUGCAUUUGAAACUGUCGUUCUUGAGUGAGGUAGAGGUAAGCGGAAUUCCUGGUGUAGCGGUGAAAUGCGUAGAGAUCAGGAGGAACAUCGGUGGCGAAGGCGGCUUACUGGGCCUUUACUGACGCUGAGGCUCGAAAGCGUGGGGAGCAAACAGG
rnacentral:rRNA from 1 species